GAACGAGAAAGUGGAGCAAUCCAUGAGUAAAGUGGCGACCGGGUGAGUAACACGUGACUAACCUGCCUUCGAGUGGGGGAUAACCUCGGGAAACCGGGGCUAAUACCGCAUAAUGCCGAAAGGUUAAAGGAGCAAUUCGCUUGAAGAGGGGGUCGCGGCUGAUUAGCUAGUUGGCGGGGUAACGGCCCACCAAGGCGAUGAUCGGUAGCCGGCCUGAGAGGGCGCACGGCCACACUGGAACUGAAACACGGUCCAGACUCCUACGGGAGGCAGCAGUGGGGAAUUUUGCGCAAUGGGGGAAACCCUGACGCAGCAACGCCGCGUGGAGGAUGAAGUCCCUUGGGACGUAAACUCCUUUCGACCGGGACGAUAAUGACGGUACCGGUGGAAGAAGCCCCGGCUAACUUCGUG
rnacentral:rRNA from 1 species